rnacentral:lncRNA from 1 species
AUGUUCAGGUGCCACCUUAAGGACACCCAGGAGUCUCCAAAUAUUCAGGGGGUCUCGAGAUGUUCAGGUGCCACCUUAAGGACCCCCAGGGCUCUCCAGAUGUUCAGGUGCCACCUUAAGNGGCCAUCCGUUGGGGUUUGGUGGUCAUCCGUUGGGGUUUGGUGGCCAUCUGUUGGGGUGGCCAUCCACUGGGAGUUUUGGUGGCCAUCUAUUGCGGUUUGGUGGCCAUCCGUUGAGGUUUGGUGGCCUUCUGUUGGGGUUUGGUGGCCAUCUGUUGGGGUUUGGUGGCCGUCCAUUGGGGUUUGGUGGCCAUCUGUUGGGGUGGCCAUCCAUUGGGAGCUCUCUUUGCCAUCUAUUGGGGUUUGGUGGUCAUCUGUUGGGGUUUGGUGGCCAUCUGCUGGGAUGGCCGUCCAUUGGGAGCUCUCUUGGCCAUCCAUGGGGCUUUGGUGGCCAUCCAUUGAGGUUUGGUGGCCAUCUGUUGGGGUGGCCAUCCAUUGGGAGUUCUCUUGGCCAUCCAUUGGGGUUUGGUGGCCAUCUGCUGGGGUGGCCAGCCAUUGGGAGUUCUCUCAGCCAUCCAUGGGGCUUUGGUGGCCAUCUGCUGGGGUUUGGUGGCCAUCCAUUGAGGUUUGGUGGCCAUCUGUUGGGGUGGCCAUCCAUUGGGAGCUCUCUUGGCCAUCCAUUGAGGUUUGGUGGCCAUCUAUUGGGGUUUGGUGGCCAUCCAUUGAGGUUUGGUGGCCAUCUGUUGGGGUGGCCAUCCAUUGGGAGUUCUCUUGGCCAUCCAUUGAAGUUUGGUGGCCAUUCAUUGGGAGUUUUGGUGGCCAUCCAUUGGGGUUUGGUGGCCAUCCAUGGGGGUUUGGUGGCCAUCCGUUGGGGUGGCCAUCCAUUGCAAGUUUUGGUGGCCAUCUAUUGGGGUUUGGUGGCCAUCUGUUGGGUUUUGGUGGUCGUCUGUUGGGGUGGCCAUCCAUUGGAAGUUUUGGUGGCCAUCCGUUGGGGUUUGGUGGCCAUCCAUUGGGGUUUGGUGGCCAUCUGUUGGGGUGGCCAUCCAUGGGGAGUUUUGGUGGCCAUCUGUUGGGGUGGCCAUCCAUGGGGGUUUGGUGGCCAUCCAUGGGGGUUUGGUGGCCAUCCAUGGGGGUUUAGUGGCCAUCUGUUGGGGUGGCCAUCCAUUGAGGUUUGGUGGCCAUCC